UCCAUUCUUUUCAAUUAACCCACUAUGACAUUCACCACACAAAGAUCCACAUAUACUACAUCACCCCCUAUCAUCCGGCUAAAGUGUAAAAGCUAAAUAGGCUCAAAGUGGAUAACAAAUGAUAAUUGUCCGUUAAGGACAGUGUUUGGGAAAAAAUGUAGCUAACAAAAUAUGGCCUAAAAUCAUCUCCUAAUCUUGGGCACAACAACAACCUCAACACAGAAACCAUGGCAAGUUAUAAAAGAUCACCACAUGCAUGACCAAAUUCACAACAAAGAAUAAACUGUGUAUAAUAAACAGUUAUGGCUCAAAAUCUCACAGGUUUAUUCAACGUCCCAAAAUCAAGGUCAAAAAUCACCCUAAAGUUAUGCAAAUUAGUUCCAAUUAUGCUCAACUUAUCAAAGAAGAUUGAAUUUCAAGAAAAUUUUAUCACAGAAAUCAUCAUAAGCCUCACACCAAAAAUCUAAAGGAGUAAUAAACAACUCAAAAGCAUCGCAGAAAAGCACCAACCAACAAAAACAGAAUAUAUCAAGUAAAUAAAGAACAAGCCAGACUCUAAGACUUUACGAAAACAGAACACAAGCAAAGAAGACUAAGACAAGCGAAUAAAAGAGAAUAAAAGCAAGAAAAAUAAUGUAAAACAUAACCAAUCUCCAUCCCCC
rnacentral:lncRNA from 1 species